rnacentral:rRNA from 1 species
ACACUCCUACGGGAGGCAGCAGUGGGGAAUAUUGCACAAUGGGCGCAAGCCUGAUGCAGCCAUGCCGCGUGUAUGAAGAAGGCCUUCGGGUUGUAAAGUACUUUCAGCGGGGAGGAAGGCGAUAAGGUUAAUAACCUUGUCGAUUGACGUUACCCGCAGAAGAAGCACCGGCUAACUCCGUGCCAGCAGCCGCGGUAAUACGGAGGGUGCAAGCGUUAAUCGGAAUUACUGGGCGUAAAGCGCACGCAGGCGGUCUGUCAAGUCGGAUGUGAAAUCCCCGGGCUCAACCUGGGAACUGCAUUCGAAACUGGCAGGCUAGAGUCUUGUAGAGGGGGGUAGAAUUCCAGGUGUAGCGGUGAAAUGCGUAGAGAUCUGGAGGAAUACCGGUGGCGAAGGCGGCCCCCUGGACAAAGACUGACGCUCAGGUGCGAAAGCGUGGGGAGCAAACAGGAUUAGAUACCCUAGUAGUCCCA